rnacentral:misc_RNA from 1 species
UUUAGGCGAUCGGGGAACCCCGGGGAGAGCGUGUGCUGAGGGCCCAUGACGUCAUCUGUUCGAUCCCGUCUGGCUCCACCAGAUGGUUUGAUCACCGAGAUCUUGACCGUCGUCCGCGAAACAUCACUUCGCAUCCUGCUAGUCUGGAUAGACAGCAGUUUGCGUGUUUUCUGACAUCGUAAAGAGGAGAUCGAUCCGAGUUGGGUCGUGCAGCAUAUCGUUGCGCGAGCCUUCAUUAUCUCCGGAUCAUUUCGGCGCUCGCUUCCAGCCGUGAGGUUGGAUGCGGGUUGUAAAUGAUCCUUUUAGCGAAGCUUGACCGCCUCGCUAUCGGAACGAUCUUACGAAGCAAGCUGGUCUUUCUAGUCAAUGUCCGGCUGCGGAUAGCGUUCAUCGAGGGCGCGUGCCGCAAGGCAAUUCUGCAGACAACAUUCUGCCGAGUGUGUGGACAUUGAUAAUGAGAGCAAUCAAGUGCCUUAAGGGUGUUCGGUGGAUGCCUUGGCGCUGAGAGGCGAUGAAGGACGUGCUACGCUGCGAUAAGCCGUGGGGAGCUGCGAAGAAGCUUUGAUCCGCGGAUUUCCGAAUGGGGAAACCCGGA